rnacentral:miRNA from 1 species
GCCGGCGCAUUGUGGAGACG